ACGCCUGGUAACCUCAGACUUUGGGACGACAGCCAUUCUGUUGGGUGUGUUGUGGCCUGCCUGCCAUUUCCCUGUCUUCUGACUUCCAUAGUAUCUGUCAUGAAGCCCACAGUCGUCAUUCUCACCUUUGCACCUCAGCAUGGAAUGGGUCUUUUCUCUCCAGCUACUUUUAAAAUGUUUUCUUUACCACCCGUUUUCAGCAAUUUGAUUGUGGUAGGCCUGCAGUGGGGCUCCCUGUUUCGGGAAUAGAGAGAAGAGUGAUGGCUGCAGCUGGAGAACCCUCCAAAUGUCCUCUGCAGAGAG
rnacentral:lncRNA from 1 species